rnacentral:lncRNA from 1 species
GUGACAUGUUCUUUUAUUUUAAAAGAUUCCUUCUCUUUCUUGCAAUUCUUUUUCAUGACUUCAAAUACUCCUUUUGUUUGUUUAUUCUUGCUUGUUUUGCAUGCAAUGCAAUCUAAACAAUAGAAGAAACCAUUCUUUUUUAUUUUAGUUGUAUCCUUCCUCUUAGGUGUUUGUUAUUUUCCUUCUUAAAUUAGGUGCACCCCUAAAAAUAAUUUUAGGUCUUUCUGGUAAGCUACUAGCAAUAAUUUUAUCUUUUUUCAAUAGAUGCCAGUGUUUUGUAAGUAUUCUUUUUAAUUGUGCAUUUUCUUUGUUGUAGUUUAAGAUAAUCGCUGGAAAUUUUUCUUCUUGUCUUGUUGUUUGUAGUUUCUCUCUAUUCUUUAAAAUAUUUGUACAAUCUAAAUUCUCUACUCUACACAAAGCAUCCUCUGUUUCGUUGUAUUGAUAGUUUUUCGACAGGAAUUUAUUCUUUACUAUUUCUGCUUGUUCCCCAUAUACUUCAAAGUCUGCACAGUUUAGUCUCAGACGCCUAAAUUCGUAAGGUACGUUUUUGAGCCGUGUAGGUAAGUGACAGCUCUCUGUAAGGAUGAAGCUGUUCACAUCUACUUCUUUAAAAUGCGUUUUUCGUUUUAACUUUACCGGAAUCUAUAUAAAUGAUAAGAUCAAGGAAUUCUACCUGUGUUUUACUACAAGUAGUAUUCAGUUUAACUCCCCAGGUAUUCUUAUUUACGUAUUCUAGAAAUUCUUGCAGGUCUACUAUUUCACCUUCCCAUAUGAAGAAAACAUCAUCGAUGUAUCUUUUAUAUCUGUGGAUAUUCAUAUUCCAGGGAUGUACAUUCCAAAUGUGAUUGUCCUCCCAAUCCCCCAUAAACAGGUUAGCAAAACUGGGGACAAAUUUUGUCCCCAUAGCAGUUCCCUUCUUCUGGAGGUAAAACUGAUCUUCAAAUAGGAAAUAGUUGUUCUUCAAAAUAAACGCAGUCCCUUCUAUUAUAAAUGAAAUUUGGGUAUCUUCCAGUUCCCCAUAUUUCUUUAAUGAGUUCCUCAUGGAGUCACAACCUUGUUGAUGAUCAAUAAUCGUGUAUAGGGAGGUCACGUCUGUAGAUACUAGAAUAUAGUUAUCUUGCCAGGAGAUGGAAUCCAGUUCUUUAAUCAUCUGUGUCGUGUCCUUAAGAUGAGACUUGACCUUAGACACAUAUGGUUGCAGAAAUGUAUCGAUGUACUGUGACAGAUUUGAUGUAAUUGAAUUAAUCCCUGAUAUUAUUGGCCGACCAGGGGGUGCUGUCAUGUCUUUGUGGAUUUUGGGUAAAAAGUAAAAGGUAGGGGUUUUUGGAAAGGGGAUAGCGAGAAAUCUGUAUUCGGACUCUUUCAAGAUCCCCAUACCUUUAGCGUUAUCCAACAUAACUUCAAGUUCCAUCAUAAUUCCACUUAAUAAAUCAGUGGAUAAUUUCCCGUAAAUUUCGGGUUCUUCUAAUAAUCUGGUUGCUUCUUUUAGAUAGUAUUCACUCGACAUGAUAACUAUUCCCCCACCUUUAUCCGCUGGUUUGAUACAGAUCUUUCAUUAUUAGUUAGAUCCUUUAUUGCUUCUCUUUCUUUACUGGUUAAGUUAUUCCUUAAAUAGUUAUUCUUUUUCAUUUUCCUUAUGUCAUCAAUUACUAAUUCCUCAUACAUCUCCAUCCCAGCAGAAACUUGAUUUAUAGGAUAAAAAGUAGAGGUUGGUUUCAACUGACUAUGUUUCAAAACGCUCACAGGCUCUUCUUUUGCUGGAAAGUCUGGAAUCUGUUCAAAGUGUUUUUUGAUGCUUAGUUUUCUUAUGAACCUUUUUACAUCAAUAGUUGCCUCAAAUUUGUUCACAUGCGCUGUGGGUGCAAAUUUUAAUUAAGGAAGGGGUGCACCUAAUUUAAGAAGGAAAAUAACAAAAACACCUAAGAGGAAGGAAGGAUACAACUAAAAUAAAAAAGAAUGAAAAAGAAUUGCAAGAAAGAGACGGAAUCUUUUAAAAUAAAAGAACAUGUCACCUGUCAUUGUACUAAC